UAAUGUAAUGGUUUUUGAAUUUUCUCAAAAUUGGUAAGUCUGGAGUUCGAAUCCUAGUUGAUUUAUAUUUUCAGUUAAGUUUAUUUUUAAAUUAAAUAAACGAAGCGAAUAGUAUGCUACAUAUCUCUCAAAAAAAAAUUGGUAAGUAUGGAUUUUAUAAAAGAUAAGGUAAACGUUUACAAACUUAUAAAAUAGAGCAGUGCUGCAAUACUCCGUUUUAAUAUUAGCUGUUUAUUUUUAAUCAAUGAAGGAUUAAAAUUUAUGUAUGAAAAAAGAUGACCCGCUAUUGUACAAGCAGUACCGGUCACCAGAUAUGUGAAGUUAGGGAUUUUUUGGAAAAACAAAAGAG
rnacentral:lncRNA from 1 species